rnacentral:rRNA from 1 species
UACGAAGGGGGCUAGCGUUGCUCGGAAUCACUGGGCGUAAAGGGUGCGUUGGCGGGUCUUUAAGUCAGGGGUGAAAUCCUGGAGCUCAACUCCAGAACUGCCUUUGAUACUGAGGAUCUUGAGUUCGGGAGAGGUGAGUGGAACUGCGAGUGUAGAGGUGAAAUUCGUAGAUAUUCGCAAGAACACCAGUGGCGAAGGCGGCUCACUGGCCCGAUACUGACGCUGAGGCACGAAAGCGUGGGGAGCAAACAGG